AUUUCAGCUCCUCAAGGAGCUUUCAUCAGGACAUAAAAAUCUUUUUAUGUCCUGAUGAAAGCUCCUUGAGGAGCUGAAAC
rnacentral:miRNA from 1 species